CUCAUUGGUAUUCCUCAUUGAGAGCAGGUGGCAAAUUAUUACAAAUGAAAGGCUAUUAUAAAAAAGAAAAACAGUCUUAGAGAUGCAGAUGUGAUAGAAGAUGGAAGAAGUUAUAUUGUGAUGGAACAGAUGGUGAUGUCAACAGAAGAUUGAGGAUUGGAAACACACAUCAGAUUUCAGUAGCUGGCCUGAAGUUAUGCCACAGAGAUGCGGUGCAAACCCUUCUCAUUCUCUACCAACUAAAUUCUUAAGAACUUAAUAGAUACACACACACAUACAGUCCAAGGAAGUCAAGACUUCUGCUAAACUGAAGUGGAUGUGGCCUUGUGAACAGGGGGCACAAUGUACAGCUGUGUCCUAUGGCAGGGAGUGUUACUACUCUGGCUGCUCAGAAUGAAGGAUGUGGUCACAUCCCCCAGUACUGUCACAGCUACAACUCCCCACUGCCUAAUCUAGAUUUGAUUUUCAUCUGCUUUAGUUAUCUGUCUAGUUUCUCCAGCUUUGCACUCUGCCCAAACACUAUGAACUCCUGAGGCAUUUCCUUCCUAUCUUCUCAGGCCAUCAAACAAGAACAUGAGCAUUGCUGCUGUGGAUCCUCUUGCACACCUGUGUGCUUUAAAGGUUUGAAAUGUCUGAGGGUCAGUGGGGAAUCUUGGUUUCUUUGGAAAUUGAAUGAGUCUCAAGUUUUUUUUGAAUAACGAUGAAUGAAUUGCAAUUAGGCUUAAUG